CUUCCUUCCCUCAUAGGCACGCCGCCUCCACCUUCACAGGUUGUACCACUCCUCUUUCCUCGCCACACCUCCAUAUCUCGUCCCUUUCCAGCCACCGCUUAUUACUAGUCGUGUCACCGCACCACUCUUCGCAGCAGUUCCCUUCACUCUUUCAUCUUAGCGUUCAAACAAGGAGGGCAGCUCUGGGGAAGAGAAAAACGGCUCUACAACCUUCUUUCUCAAUUCAUGAUAGUGGUGGUUGGUUUUCAGAGAUUGCAUUUGUUAAGUUAUUGAAUUGUUGGUAUUUUUAUUUUAUUAUUAAUUUAUUUAUUGCUUUUAUA